UUCCCCUUCCAUCCAGAAGACAUGCUUGACCACAUGCUCAUCUCCUACCUCUAACUAACCGUGUCAGAUAAGGACGAGGACGAAGCAUAACGAUGAAGCAGCUCCUACAUCUAGCACUGCUAGCUCGUGCAUCUCUAUAGCCACCGCCGCGCCACGCUAGGCCAUGCGCCGUGGAGCUGCUGACUGUUGUUGCCGCCCAGCAAUAGGACCUGAUUGGUUGCCGCCAGCGAGCGACGCACCCGUUCUGUUGCAGUGGAGCACAGCAUGUUGGCCUGUAGUCCGGGAGUGAUGGACUUCUACACGUCGUAGUCUGUGUCCAUGGCCCCCUGCGAGGGGCCUGCAGCCUGCUGGAGUGCAAGGUUGGUGGCGGCGCGGUGACACCGAUGGAGGAGAGGCAGAGCAUGAAUUCUCUCUCACGCAUCUAGCUAGCAUUCUCAUCUCAGUUGCCAGUGAGGCAAAGAAGUACAAGUCUGGCAAAAGGAUGUCUAAACUAGAAGUCUAGAUAAGAUAUUUCUUUUCCUGGGUUUUCCCCUUUUUCUGAUGGUUACCACCCCCUUGUUUUCCCUUCAUCCAUACUCUAGGCUACAGUAGCAAUCUGGAAUAGAUCGAGAUUCUGAAAAUCAUGAGAAACUUUUACUUCUUAUUCUUCUCUUUUUUUGUCUCCUAUUCAAAAGUCUAGGAAUAGGUCUAGCUCAUGUAUAGGAUUAAAUAACAAGCAAAUGUGUGAAAAUGUUUUACUAAAGUAAUAGGUUGUUUUUUGUCCGAUUA